GGAGGAAGCAGGGGAUCGCAAGACCUUGCGCUUUUGGAGCGGCCGAUGUCUGAUUAGCUUGUUGGUAAGGUAAAAGCUUACCAAGGCUUCGAUCAGUAGCUGGUCUGAGAGGACGACCAGCCACACUGGGACUGAGACACGGCCCAGACUCCUACGGGAGGCAGCAGUGGGGAAUUUUGGACAAUGGGGGCAACCCUGAUCCAGCCAUGCCGCGUGAGUGAAGAAGGCCUUCGGGUUGUAAAGCUCUUUCAGCCGGAACGAAACGGUUACGGUUAAUACCCGUGACUACUGACGGUACCGGAAGAAGAAGCACCGGCUAACUACGUGCCAGCAGCCGCGGUAAUACGUAGGGUGCGAGCGUUAAUCGGAAUUACUGGGCGUAAAGCGUGCGCAGGUGGUUUUGUAAGUCAGAUGUGAAAUCCCCGGGCUCAACCUGGGAACUGCGUUUGAAACUACAAGGCUAG
rnacentral:rRNA from 1 species